rnacentral:rRNA from 1 species
GUGGGGAAUAUUCCGCAAUGGACGAAAGUCUGACGGAGCAACGCCGCGUGAGUGAUGAAGGUUUUCGGACUGUAAAGCUCUGUUGUUUAGGACGAAAGUGCCUGUUGCAAAUAGUUACAGGUAUUGACGGUACUGAACGAGGAAGCCACGGCUAACUACGUGCCAGCAGCCGCGGUAAUACGUAGGUGGCAAGCGUUGUCCGGAAUUAUUGGGCGUAAAGAGCAUGUAGGCGGGAAUCUAAGUCUGUUGUGAAAAUGCGGGGCUCAACCCCGUAUUGCGAUGGAAACUGGGUUUGUUGAGUGCAGGAGAGGAAAGGGGAAUUCCCAGUGUAGCGGUGAAAUGCGUAGAUAUUGGGAGGAACACCAGUGGCGAAGGCGCCUUUCUGGACUGUGUCUGACGCUGAGAUGCGAAAGCCAGGGUAGCGAACGGGAUUAGAUACCCCUGUAGUCC